UCACUUUGAACUUGUAUUUUUUUUUUCUCCUUGGACAUUUGUGACUAGUAUAUGUAUACACACCUACAUUAUACGUAACCCCUGAUCCUUUUAAAAAUGAAAAAUAAAAUUGUGGGCGGGGAAGAGGAGAGGGAGGGGAUUACAAGGUCGGAAAUUGAACUUUCACUAACCUACUGAGCUACCAAGAUUCCCCGACAUGGGCAUUCCCAUUUGCUCUUUCUCAGUAACUUAUCUCGAACACAUAGCAAAACAGCUCAUCUGAUUCCUCGAAUUGCUGGUUACAUUAGGAUAAAUUAUGAUCUUCGAGUCCAAGAGACCCUGGAGAGUCAUCCGUGUCCUCUGGAGUCCACCGGGGUUUGAGUUGGGUUAUGUGACCUACGAGGUGAUAACGAUAUACUUGGUGCGCAGAAAAAAUCAGGCAGAGAGAAAGCUCAUGCUGAUUUGGCUGAGAUCAUACAAUGUGAUGCAAGGCACAUAGAAUAAGAAAGACUAGCUCUUUAUUCGAAUGCGGAGAGGGGUGAAGGUAAUGUGGAACGUACGCAAACCAGAUGAGUGGAUGCCUAUCGAGGAUGCAGAUGACGAUGAGGACUAUUCAUUCCAGGAGGCCUGGCCAGCUGACAGAGCUUCAGGAUCAGGAGACUGCGGAGAUAACCCCGAGCAUGGUUCAGAGGCGAUCUCCUAGUCUUCUAGUUUUCGGGUUGGGGGUGUAGCAUUCUCAUUUGACUAUGUUUUUUUUGAUACUUGAUAUUGCUCCUCCGGGCCUUGAUCAUCAAUUUGCUGGAAUGGAUGACAGGCAAAAAGAUUGCAGGAGAACGCUUAGCAUAUCACAUGCAGCUGUAUCUGGGCCAGUUUGUACACACCUCGACUAAUUCCACGAGAUCCCCNNNN
rnacentral:lncRNA from 1 species